CCACAGCUGCUGCUAAGGGUGAUUUCCUGUUCACAAGUGAUCGAUUAAUUGAGAUCAUCACAAAGCUUUAUCGCACAAUAUUCUUCAAAACCAACCAGAAGAUAAAUGUUGAGAUAAAUAAUGAAUUUCUGGUUCAAUUCAAUCAGGAUAAAGUCUGUGUGAAGUUCAUUCAGGGAGCACAGAAAAAUGGCAAUCUCCCUACAUGCAAGAGGAAAAAUAAUCGCCUCCUGGAAGUCACAGUUCCUUAAUUGCUGCAAUUUUGUGACAAUUACUUACUGCACAUAUGGUUAUAUAUUCUUUCUGUUAAGUUUUCCUUUUCUCCUGAAGCUGUGACUGGUUGAUAGCAAUUGUGUAAAUUAAUGGUGCUUUCAAUUUGUUUUCUAAUACCAAAAUUGGUUUUUAAAAUGGUCGAGGGGGUAAAAGAAACACCAAUGAGUUCCUUUUGCAAAUGUCAGGGUGAUAGUUUCCUGUCAUUGAGUGUUCAAGAUGGUCAAUUAUGGCAUUGAUUUAAUCACUCAGCUAGUGGUUUAGCCUGGGCCAGUUGUACAGCACUAUAGUUGGGCACAUGGGAUGGCUGGAUGACCUCUCACUGCCAAUAAUCGCAAAGCAAAUAGCCACUUGCAUGAGGCAUCACAAACCUGUGAAAUGCCCCACACAUGAGUCGCACCUUCAGGAGAAAUGGGGUUGGGAUGAUUAUUGGAGCAAUCUCUGGGCGAGAAAGAAUUAUGGGAUCUGAAAUCGGAUUUGUGAACUUGGACCUGAGCUGGAUGCCUCAGUGUGUGAAACAUUGUAGUCUCGGCUUUCUGCAAGGCAGAAUCUAACACUAGAUGGAGGAGCAAACAGAUUUUAAAAACCAAAUUGAGCAAAGUGUGAUGCUGUGGGUGAUUGUAUUAAUAUGUUGUACCUUCGUAUUUUAGAAUCUGUCACUUGGUUAUGGGGAUCAACUUUUGAGGUUAAACAAUUGCUGAACUAUGUACAGGAAUACUGCUAAUUUAGAAAAGAAAUUAUGCAUUGUAUGUAUUGUACAACCAAAACAAAAAAUCAAUUCUAAAGCAAUUUGUAAAGGCUAUUUAUGUUGAAUUUCUGGGAGAGGUCCUUGGUACACAUAGCCUGUGUUGAAAGCUGUAAUGCAGCUGCCAGGCCAAUAUAACUCUUGCUACGUCACUUACAGUUAAUAGAAUCUACGCUACACAUUUCUAAAAACAGUAGCAGAAUGAAUUGCAGUUCAAUGGUUUUUCACUAAGAAAUGUUUGCGAUAAUGAGAUGUAAAUAGAUUGAAGUUGGUAUUGUGAUCAUAGAUUGAUGUUUCAUAGUGAUGUAAUGUUGUAAUCAUGUUUUUAUAUUUAAUACCUCUUUCAAGCUCCUUCUGCCUGGAGAAUUUGCAUAUUAGACAGCAGUCAAAAUCAGAGUUAACGUAACUGAUUUCUUAAUCUUUUAUAAAUCUGUUAAAUUUA